GCUCUCGUGGUGUAGUGGCUAUCAUACUUUCUUAGGGUCCAGCGCUGGUCUCUAAUCCUCCUCGGAUUCGUCUCCGUCCUCUAGCUAUGGAAGUGGUCCUGGGUUCAAAUCCCGGCGAGGGCC
rnacentral:tRNA from 1 species